rnacentral:rRNA from 1 species
AUUGAACGCUGGCGGCAGGCCUAACCCAUGCAAGUCGAACGCGUGGCGGACGGGUGCGUAAUGUCUGGGAAACUGCCAGAUGGAGGGGGAUAACUACUGGAAACGGUCGCUAAUACCGCAUACCAUCGGAUGUGCCCAGCUUGGAUUAGGUAGUAGGUGGGGUAAAGGCUCACCUAGGCGAAGAUCCCUAGCUGGUCUGAGAUGAUGACCAGCCACACUGGAACUGAGACACGUUCCAGACUCCUACGGGAGGCAGCAGGGGGGAAUAGUGCACAAUGGGCGCAAGCCUGAUGCAGCCAUGCCGCGUGUAUGAAGAAGGCCUUCGGGUUGUAAAGUACUUUCAGCGGGGAGGCGGUCCCCGCAGAAGAAGCACCGGCUAACUCCGUGCCAGCCGCCGCGGUAAUUC